rnacentral:rRNA from 1 species
GCCAACGGCCAUGCCAUGUUGAGUACACCGGUUCUCGUCCGAUCACCAAAGAUAAGCAACAUCGGGCGUGGUUAGUACUUGGAUCGGUGACCACCUGGGAACACCACGUGCUGUUGGCU